CUUGGUGAUUUGAGCGACGUGGGUACACCCGGUCCCAUCCCGAACCCGGCAGUUAAGCACGUCAGCGCUGAUGGUACUUGGAGGGCGACCUCCUGGGAGAGUAGGUCAUUGCCAAGG
rfam:Chloroflexi bacterium OLB14 TZ14_CFX002CONTIG000063, whole genome shotgun sequence.